rnacentral:rRNA from 1 species
UACAGAGGGUGCGAGCGUUAAUCGGAAUUACUGGGCGUAAAGCGCGCGUAGGCGGCUUUGCAAGUCGAGUGUGAAAUCCCCAGGCUUAACCUGGGAACUGCAGUCGAGACUGUCUAGCUAGAGUAUGGGAGAGGGAAGUGGAAUUUCAGGUGUAGCGGUGAAAUGCGUAGAUAUCUGAAGGAACAUCAGUGGCGAAAGCGACUUCCUGGACCAAUACUGACGCUCAUGUGCGAAAGCGUGGGGAGCAAACAGG